rnacentral:rRNA from 1 species
GACGAACGCUGGCGGCGUGCCUAACACAUGCAAGUCGAACGAAGCAUAGCAAUAUGCUUAGUGGCGGACGGGUGAGUAACGCGUGAACAAUCUGCCCUGUACAAAGGAAUAGCCUCGGGAAACCGGGAUUAAAACCGUAUGACACUUUAGUAUCGCAUGAUAAGAAAGUCAAAUCGAUUAGAGGUAUGGGAUGAGUUCGCGUCUGAUUAGCUGGUUGGCGGGGUAACGGCCCACCAAGGCGACGAUCAGUAGCCGGCCUGAGAGGGUGAACGGCCACACUGGAACUGAGACACGGUCCAGACUCCUACGGGAGGCAGCAGUGGGGAAUAUUGCACAAUGGAGGGAACUCUGAUGCAGCGACGCCGCGUGAGUGAAGAAGGUCUUCGGAUCGUAAAACUCUGUCCUUGGUGAAGAAAAGGACGGUAGCCAAGGAGGAAGCCCCGGUAACUACGUG